rnacentral:rRNA from 1 species
ACGUAGGGUGCGAGCGUUAAUCGGAAUUACUGGGCGUAAAGCGUGCGCAGGCGGUUCGUUGUGUCGGUGGUGAAAGCCCCGGGCUUAACCUGGGAAUGGCAUUGGAUACUGGCGACCUAGAGUGCGGUAGAGGGUAGCGGAAUUCCCGGUGUAGCAGUGAAAUGCGUAGAUAUCGGGAGGAACAUCCGUGGCGAAGGCGGCUACCUGGACCAGCACU